GAUAAACGCUGGCGGCGCACAUAAGACAUGCAAGUCGAACGGACUUAACUCAUUCUUUAGAUUGAGAGCGGUUAGUGGCGGACUGGUGAGUAACACGUAAGCAACCUGCCUAUCAGAGGGGAAUAACAACGAGAAAUCGUUGCUAAUACCGCAUAAGCUAGUAGCAUCGCAUGAUGUAGCUAGAAAAGGAGCAAUCCGCUGAUAGAUGGGCUUGCGUCUGAUUAGCUAGUUGGAGGGUAACGGCCCACCAAGGCGACGAUCAGUAGCCGGUCUGAGAGGAUGAACGGCCACAUUGGGACUGAGACACGGCCCAG
rnacentral:rRNA from 1 species